rnacentral:rRNA from 1 species
CAGUCGCCGCGGUAAUACAGAGGGUGCAAGCGUUAAUCGGAAUUACUGGGCGUAAAGCGCGCGUAGGUGGUUCGCCAAGUUGGAUGUGAAAUCCCCGGGCUCAACCUGGGAACUGCAUCCAAAACUGGCGAGCUAGAGUAUGGUAGAGGGUGGUGGAAUUUCCUGUGUAGCGGUGAAAUGCGUAGAUAUAGGAAGGAACAUCAGUGGCGAAGGCGACCACCUGGACUGAUACUGACACUGAGGUGCGAAAGCGUGGGGAGCAAACAGGAUUAGAUACCCCUGUAGUCCCUGUCUCUUAUAA